CCAAUAGCGUAUAUUAAAGUUGUUGCAGUUAAAAAGCUCGUAGUUGAAUUUCGGGGUCAGUAGGUUGGUCAUGCCUCCGGUAUGUACUGGUCUCACUGAUUCCUCCUUCCUGAUGAGCCGUAAUGCCAUUAAUUUGGUGUUGCGAGGAAUCUGGACUGUUACUUUGAAAAAAUUAGAGUGUUUAAAGCAGGCUAACGCUUGAAUACAUUAGCAUGGAAUAAUGAAAUAGGACGUUCGAUCUUAUUUUGUUGGUUUCUAAGAUUGACGUAAUGAUUAAUAGGGAUAGUUGGGGGCAUUAGUAUUCAAUUGUCAGAGGUGAAAUUCUUGGAUUUAUUGAAGACUAACUACUGCGAAAGCAUUUGCCAAGGAUGUUUUCAUUAAUCAAGAACGAAAGUUAGGGGAUCGAAGACGAUCAGAUACCGUCGUAGUCUUAACCAUAAACUAUGCCGACUAGGGAUCGGAUGAUGUUAAUUUUUUAAUGACUCAUUCGGCGCCUUACG
rnacentral:rRNA from 1 species